rnacentral:rRNA from 1 species
GGACGGGUGAGUAACACGUGGGUAACCUGCCUGUAAGACUGGGAUAACUCCGGGAAACCGGAGCUAAUACCGGAUAGUUCCUUGAACCGCAUGGUUCAAGGAUGAAAGACGGUUUCGGCUGUCACUUACAGAUGGACCCGCGGCGCAUUAGCUAGUUGGUGGGGUAAUGGCUCACCAAGGCGACGAUGCGUAGCCGACCUGAGAGGGUGAUCGGCCACACUGGGACUGAGACACGGCCCAGACUCCUACGGGAGGCAGCAGUAGGGAAUCUUCCGCAAUGGACGAAAGUCUGACGGAGCAACGCCGCGUGAGUGAUGAAGGUUUUCGGAUCGUAAAGCUCUGUUGUUAGGGAAGAACAAGUGCGAGAGUAACUGCUCGCACCUUGACGGUACCUAACCAGAAAGCCACGGCUAACUACGUGCCAGCAGCCGCGGUAAUACGUAGGUGGCAAGCGUUGUCCGGAAUUAUUGGGCGUAAAGGGCUCGCAGGCGGUUUCUUAAGUCUGAUGUGAAAGCCCCGGCUCAACCGGGGAGGGUCAUUGGAAACUGGGAAACUUGAGUGCAGAAGAGGAGAGUGGAAUUCCACGUGUAGCGGUGAAAUGCGUAGAGAUGUGGAGGAACACCAGUGGCGAAGGCGACUCUCUGGUCUGUACUGACGCUGAGGAGCGAAAGCGUGGGGAGCGAACAGGAUUAGAUACCCUGGUAGUCCACGCCGUAAACGAUGAGUGCUAAGUGUUAGGGGGUUUCCGCCCCUUAGUGCUGCAGCUAACGCAUUAAGCACUCCGCCUGGGGAGUACGGUCGCAAGACUGAAACUCAAAGGAAUUGACGGGGGCCCGCA